GUACUCAAUGGUGCACCACCGGAGAUUAGUAGGCGAAGACGACCACCAAGCCUUGCCUUGACCUAGACCAAUCAAAGGGAACAAACAAAGCAAAUAUAAGAGUCAUGACUUGUUAUUUAUGAAGGAGCCAGCUAUGCUGCAACUCCUGUACUCUUUGAAGGUUAAUGCUAGGAACACAUAAUGACCCUGGUGUGCGGUAUGUUCUUAGUUCUGCUUUUAGCCAUAUUCUAAUUGGACCCAACUACUGAAUUUCGAAAAAGUUUUGAGCAGGUAACUUUCAGAAAGAAGAGGGUUCAAGAAAAGAUCUUUAGAGUACACAUUCAAUUUAAACUUUAAGACAGUUAGUAGUUCAGUGCACAGUUUUUCUGGUAAACAGUGAAUGCAAAACAAACAUGACAUGUGCAUGUCCUUUUUUUGUUGAGGAGAGUCACAUGCCUGUCCUUA